UAAAGAGUCGAGUUAUAACUUUAAGGCAUAAAAAGGUGGUUAGACGUAUAAAGUAUAGGAUAUAUAAUGGAGAUUGUAAGGUAGAAUUUAUCUAUUUUCUAGUUAUUAAGUAUUCCUCUUGUUGAAUCCACGUAAGUUUUAUAAGAAACCAGGAUUAGAUACCCUGUUAUUUUUGAUCGUAAAUUGACUAGUUCUGCCAGAGUAGUAUGGGAUUUUCCUUAAACUCAAAAAGCUUGGCGGUGCUCUAGACUGCUUAGGGGAACCUGUCUCGUAAUCGACGAUCCACGUUGAACCUAACUUUGUCUUGUAUUCAGCAUGUAUACCGUUGUCGUCAGUCAAUUUUUAAAAACUUGGCAAAGAAAUUUUUAGGUUCAUACGUCAAAUCAAGGUGCAGCUUAUGAUAAAGUGAGGAUGGGUUACAAUUAAGAUUUAUAAUACGGUUGAUUUUUUGAAAGUGAAGUUUUAAGGAGGUCUUAAAAGUAAGGUUAUAGUAGAAGAAUAGCUUGAAUUUGCUCUGGAGUGUGCACAUAU
rnacentral:rRNA from 1 species